rnacentral:rRNA from 1 species
GACGAACGCUGGCGGCGUGCUUAACACAUGCAAGUCGAACGGAAAGGCCCUGCUUUUGUGGGGUGCUCGAGUGGCGAACGGGUGAGUAACACGUGAGUAACCUGCCCUUGACUUUGGGAUAACUUCAGGAAACUGGGGCUAAUACCGGAUAGGAGCUCCUGCUGCAUGGUGGGGGUUGGAAAGUUUCGGCGGUUGGGGAUGGACUCGCGGCUUAUCAGCUUGUUGGUGGGGUAGUGGCUUACCAAGGCUUUGACGGGUAGCCGGCCUGAGAGGGUGACCGGGCACAUGGGGACUGAGAGACGGACCAGACGCCUACGGGAGGCAGCAGUGGGGAAUAUGGCACAAUGGGCGGAAGCCUGAUGCAGCAACGCCGCGUGCGGGAUGACGGCCUUCGGGGUGUAAACCGCUUUCGCCUGUGACGAAGCGUGAGUGACGGUAAUGGGUAAAGAAGCACCGGCUAACUACGUG